rnacentral:lncRNA from 1 species
GUAGAAGUUUUGUAUUAGGUAUAAAAGUCAGCAUAACUUAUACCACGUUUGGUUGGUAAGAAUUUAAAUGUUGUAUAAAAGUUAUUCAUGUAUUAAUUUAUACGGUGUUUGGUUGCAUUUUUGUAGUCCUACAUAAUUAAUACCAACAUAACUUAUGAGGGAAUCUAUGUAUAAAGUUAUGCAGGGUAGAAGGUGGAAUAAGUUAUGUGGGUAUUAGUUAUACAUGUAUUAAAAUGAUAGAUUACAUAUUUACCCUAUUAAUUUAUUUUUUAUUUUUUAAUUGGAAACUUUACUGUUUCCUAUAUACAUUUGUUAUUUUUAUUUCUUUUUAUAUAUAGACUAUUUUCAUUUUUUUAUAUAUAUUUACCGUUUUUAUUUAUUUAUGCAAAUAUAAAUAUUUUUUUAAUAUUAGAGAUUUGAUUGUAUAUUUUUUGACGGUACAUAUGCUAAUCAAAUAUUAGCAUUAUGCUGGAGUUGUUCUAUCAGUUUAGGAUUUUUUUGUUUCCAAAUUAGAUUAUUUCUAGUUGUUUUUGUUUUGUCUAUUUUGUUGACC